AUUUCAUCAAAGAACAUUUCCUAAAAAACCUGAUCUCAGUACCUGCCAUCUCUAGAAACUUUGUUCCUGAACUGCUUGUUUUGCAAGGUGAUAUAUGCAGGGCUGGGGGCGGAGGGUGGAAAGACUUGAUGUGCAUUGUCAACUAAAUUAAUGAACUGUCAUCUAUCCAGUGAGUUUACUGAAGAGCCUACAGAAAUGUGAACAAAUGGGAUAUCACCAGAGCCACAGAUGCUCAGGUGCUGUUUUGUUUUCCUGGGUUUUUCCACACAAACUGAGGAAACAUUGUGUCUGGAAAAUUACAAGGUCAGCUUGUGCCAGAAGCUAUUGCUGGAGAAACAGCCCAGUGACGCCAUUAAACAGGCCACAGUUAAUUAGUAGCAAACCCUGAAGAUGUUUCUUACAUUAUGACACAGAGAGAUAGUGGAGAAAGCAAGAAAAAGAAAAAUCUGGAUAGGGG
rnacentral:lncRNA from 1 species